rnacentral:lncRNA from 1 species
UUUAGGACUCUCUCUCCUCUGUUAGUGAGAAUUUUCUCUCGAAACCUUAGACCUUCUUAUCAAAAAAAAAAUCCUUCAGAAGGUUUAAUGGUUGUUGAGAGGAUUAGAGAGUCCAAUGGUUUUUCCUUCCGAUUUCGGUGUUCCCGACCGGCUUAGCUUCCGGCGUUGCAUCGAUUCUUUUGAUGAACGCUCGGAUUUGUCUCUGGGAAGCGGUGGCUACGCUAGCACCAACUUCGUCGGCUUUAGACUCCGGGAGGCAGUGGCUCCUGUAGCACUGUUCCUCGCCGGCUUAUCUCGGGUUUAUCCCGACUCCGUUUGAUCUACGCCUCCGUUCUUCUAUGUUCCAACUGACUCUUGAUCUGCUCAAACUUGUUGAAAUACACAGUUUUCAGAUCGAUUGCAGACGGUUUCCUUUUUUUUUUGUGCGUAGAUCCGCCAGAAUAGAUUUUUCGGUUGAAUCUCUUGUAAAGGCCGUUUUUGUUUGAGCGGUUUCUCUAUUGGUUCUUCUUCGCCGAUGGGCGGAGCUCUGCCGUGUCUCUUGACUGGUUUCUUCCGGAGGAAGAUGGUGGACUCUGGCUUUGACACGUUUUCAUUGAUCGCAGGGCGAUCGUCCACGUGGUGAGCGGUGUCCUUUCUUCAACGACGGUUUACCCUAAUGGAUUUUGUGGGUUUUAGUUUUUGUUUAGUUUGGCCUUUUAUAUUUUGACUUUUCUUGUAAAGUUUGUUUGGUUUUGUUUCCAUGGGUUUUUGUCCCAUUUAAUAAUACAGACGACAAAAAAAAAGAUCAGUUUUUGUUGUAACGGACACAUAACCACCUACAAAUAGAUUUUGGCUCUAUCCUUAUCUUGAAAAUUUAAGACUCCGAUGUGCCAUUUCUAUACCGGUUGGCAGGUUCAUAUUAUUAAUUUAAGUUUUUAUGAUUAAAAAACAGGAUAAAGUAAAU